rnacentral:rRNA from 1 species
AGAGUUUGAUCAUGGCUCAGAUUGAACGCUGGCGGCAGGCCUAACACAUGCAAGUCGAACGGUAACAGGAAGAAGCUUGCUUCUUUGCUGACGAGUGGCGGACGGGUGAGUAAUGUCUGGGAAACUGCCUGAUGGAGGGGGAUAACUACUGGAAACGGUAGCUAAUACCGCAUAACGUCGCAAGACCAAAGAGGGGGACCUUCGGGCCUCUUGCCAUCGGAUGUGCCCAGAUGGGAUUAGCUAGUAGGUGGGGUAACGGCUCACCUAGGCGACGAUCCCUAGCUGGUCUGAGAGGAUGACCAGCCACACUGGAACUGAGACACGGUCCAGACUCCUACGGGAGGCAGCAGUGGGGAAUAUUGCACAAUGGGCGCAAGCCUGAUCCAGCCAUGCCGCGUGAGUGAAGAAGGCCCUCGGGUUGUAAAGCUCUUUUGUCCGGAAAGAAAAGCGCCGGGUUAAUACCCUGGUGUCCUGACGGUACCGGAAGAAUAAGCACCGGCUAACUUCGUG